CCAGGUCAGGCGGGGCAGCCGAGCGCCGAGCCAGCCGCCUCCGAACCAGAACCCACAAAGCCAGACAGGAGCAGUCACCUGCCGAGCAAUCGAUAUCCAGCCCUCGAGGCGGAAGCGCAGACAUUUGCCACGCACGUAGGCAGGCAGGAGCAGAGGAGAGCCGAGCUCGCGUAGGGCCCACAGGCCCAGAGGUCGCCAGGGGACUGGCCGGGGUCUUGAGGCCGAGUCUGGCUGGUGCUGCCUAGGGCAGUGUCAGGCGGAGUCCCCCCCCCCAUAUGACCCCUUGCCCCCUGCCAGCAGGGCGGCUCCAGCCUUCGGACAACCAGCGCUUGGGCAUCUCUCCCGUGAGGGGCAGCCCCUCUGGGCCCAGAAAAGCCCCCCCCUCCCCCCACUCUUGGCUCAUGCUACAGGUUCCCCCAUCUUCACCUCCCCGGUUACUGAAAUCCUAGUUCUCCCUCCUGCCCCUGGUCCCUCACACCGCUCGACUUUUCCCCACAUGGCCCGGCCUGCUGCUGCAGCUGGCUGCGCCUGUCCCUUUCCCCUGAAGCAGGUUCUCAAUGGAAGCAGACUGUCCUGCUUGGCUCGGGGCAAAGCCUGGCAGCAGGAGGUUGAUAGAUGGCUAAUGUCUUUCCCCCUUUUCCUGCCUGCAGUGCCAAGAAAGGCUCAAGGAGGGAAAAGGGCAGGACAGGCCCCCUCACAGCAGCCCCAGGGGACAGGCGGUCAGAACCGAUUUUAUAUCCCAUGCUAGUCUGCUAACAUAGCACAGCAGGGACAGCCAACACAUCCCUACUUCCUGCAGCUUCUGGAAUGCACUGCAGCAUUAAUUGCUCCAUGACAUGUCAAGAAGUGGCUCAUUUUGAACCUGCCUAAAUACAAGGAAAAGAAAGGGCCCUGUCCCCCAACUUCCCCUUUUUAAGAGCCAUAGAAUGGCCUGAACCUAAGGGGUGCUUUGCUGGAUUCGGAACCCCAAGGCAGCUAACGAGCCUUAAUUCCAAAUCACUCAUUAACUUGUGCAAUGUAAAGAGAAAAUGAUUUGCCCUCACCAGGAGAAGAAAUACAUUUGACUCUGACAUAGUUCUUAAAGAGGAAGUUACUCACCUUGUGCAGUAACAAUGGUUCUUCAAGUGUCCCGCUCGUGUCCCUGUGCUGCUGCUCAGAGAACUUUGGUAGCAGUAUCCUUUCAGCCCGCACAUGUGCUGUCCGCCCCUUGUGUUCUGCCACAAGGCUAACUAGCGCUGCGCCCGCAAACCCCCCUCAGUUUCUUCACUACCACAGAGUCCUUGACAAGAACGCCAAAGCAGAGGGGAGGAGGGUGGGUCAUGGAGCACCCAUACAGACACACAUCUUGAAGAAUCGUCGUUACUGCACAAGGUGAGUAACCUCUACUUCUUCAAGUAGUGUCCCUAUGGGUGCUCCAUUGUAGUUGACUCCCGAGCAGUAUCCCUAAUGGGAGGCCUAGGCUUCGGAGUCGAGUCAGUUAUGGAUGACAAUACUGCAGAACCGAAGAUAGUGUCGGAAGCAGUACCCAGUAAUUGCAUAGUGUUCUGCGAAGAUACGUGCAGAUGCCCAGGUUGCUGCUCUGCAGAUUUCAGAGAUAACUACAUUCUUGAGGAAGGUAACAGAGGAGGAAACUGACUUCAUGGAUCAUGUGCAUAUUCUGGCUGGAGAUCUUGUGAUAAUGGAGGGAACCGGAGAAAGGUGUAUAUAAGGUCCUUGUCCCAUAAAAGGAGAGCAUCCCCUAAGGAGUGCUGUCCGAGGCCUGUUCUGGAGCAGUAGCAUGGACAUUUCUUGGUCAGGGAUUGGAGUGGUGACUCAGACCCCCCUGCCCUUGUGAACAGAAGAGAGGGCACUUCCUGUUCCCGAAGGUGGUGAAAAGAUGGAUUUCUGGCAGUCCCCAUUUCUGGAAUAUGCUUUGGAGAACCUGAGUGUCUAGCUCCCUUUCACAGAUUGUGGAAGAAGUGUCUGGUGUUCUGGAUGCCUGAGAGGGACUUCUUUAUGUGGAAGGACACCAUCACCUGACUGUCCAAGGUGUUGCUGCUUGGAGAGUAUGUUGUUCUGAACCAACCUGAAAGCAGUGAAGGUGUAGCCCUGUGUGAUUGGCCACAAAUGUGAAAGCUGCCAUACUGGGGACAGUUGAAGACAGUUCCUUAUUGUGGUCUGAGGGCUUCCCUGAAUUGUCCCUACCAGACCUGACAAGGUCACAAAUCUGUGCAAAGGUGUAGGUCCAACUCCUGAAGCAGAGCAAGGCCUGUCUGGGUGGAAGAUAGCACUGCCUAGAAGGAGCAUCUCGAGUCAUCGAGGUACAGGAAGACCAGGAUUGCUUCCUGCUGAACGUGCGUAAAUGCCCAGGGGAUGUUGGAUAGCCCCGGAGUCCUUCAACGUGUGAAGGGAAUUGUUCAAGGUCUCUGAGAAAAGCGUAUAACCAUCAAAGGGGAGGUCCUCUACUGUGUUCUGAACUUCUCUCGGAAACCCCCAAAGUUGGAAACAUGACGCCCUGUGUAUAACUACCACCAUGGAGAUGGAUCUGGUAGCAGGGUCCACAGCAUCUAGGGACACUUGGAGAGUUGUACUGGCGAAUAGCUGAUUCGCUGCGACUAUGGAAUUGAAUUGCUCCCUGCAGUUACACGGCAGCUGUUCAAUACAGGCCAUGGGCUUGUUGUAAUUAGUAAAGUUGUAUUUGACCAUGACCACCUGAUAGUUUGUGAUCCGGAACUGGAGGGUUGCAGAUGAGUAUGACUUUUGCCCAGAGAGAUCCAGUCACUUUUGGUCCUUGUCAUAGAUCUUGAAAAGUGCUGCCUAUUGCUGCAUCCACCACUAAGGAGUUAGGUGGGGGAUGGGAAAAUAAAA